rfam:Helianthus annuus linkage group 4, whole genome shotgun sequence.
CACUGGAUUCAGCGGUUCAUCGAUCUGUUCCAUAAUCCUAAUGAUUGAAUUUCAUACGACGAUUGAGAGAGGUGGGAAAUGGAAUCGAUCGAUAAACCUCUGCAUCCAGU